GAAGGAAGAAAAAGACGACGAAGAUCAAACCGCAAUGAGCAAAAUGCUUUUCUACGGUUGCCGCUGGCAUUUGUUGUGCGAGGGCGGUAAAGCUGGCAACGCUAGAACAAAGCGAAAUGUUACCCUUACCGCAUCCUCGUGAAAAGAAAACCCCCUAGGAAAAUAAUGAUGAUACUUGCGUUGUGCUGGAGAAAGAAAUAGCCGAAUAUUCUUGCAACGCACAUAUAAUACAAUGCUCAUGCUAAGGAGAGGAUUGCUGAUUGAAACGGGUUCAUUAGUUUUGGCCAGCCCUCGGAAACAAGCGUAAGGAGUGGCAACCAAACUAUUCGAAGUGAGUGAGCUAUCACUGACGUCGCGCACGAUGAUUCAGACGCAACAGAGUGAUCGAGCAGUGCAAAGCUAUCGAGCCGACGAUUGGUGGGUGCCGUGAUCGGUCGACAUAAAUACGAAAUGCCCAGAUUGGACUCGCCGCACGAAACAGUAAUUACGGCAGCGAAUUGUGACGUUAUCUUACACGGCUAGAUGGAAAGCACAAAGGGAAAAAUAUG